ACUCAAAGGAAUAGACGGGGGCCCGCACAAGCGGUGGAGCAUGUGGUUCAAUUCGACGCAACGCGAAGAACCUUACCGGGGUUUGAACUGCACAGGACCGCCACAGAGAUGUGGCUUUCCUUCGGGACCUGUGUAGAGGUGCUGCAUGGCUGUCGUCAGCUCGUGUCGUGAGAUGUUGGGUUAAGUCCCGCAACGAGCGCAACCCUUGCCUCCUGUUGCUAACAGAUAAUGCUGAGCACUCUGGAGAGACUGCCGGUGAUAAACCGGAGGAAGGUGGGGAUGACGUCAAGUCCUCAUGGCCUCUAAGCCCCGGGCUACACACGUGCUACAAUGGCUGAUACAAAGGGUUGCAAAACCGCGAGGUGGAGCUAAUCCCAAAAAGUCAGUCCCAGUUCGGAUUGCAGUCUGCAACUCGACUGCAUGAAGCUGGAAUCGCUAGUAAUCGCGGAUCAGCACGCCGCGGUGAAUACGUUCCCGGGCCUUGCACACACCGCCCGU
rnacentral:rRNA from 1 species